rnacentral:rRNA from 1 species
UACGUAGGGGGCAAGCGUUGUCCGGAUUUAUUGGGCGUAAAGAGCGUGUAGGCGGUUAGGUAGGUCCGUUGUGAAAACUCGAGGCUCAACCUCGAGACGCCGAUGGAAACCAUCUGACUAGAGUCCGGAAGAGGAGAGUGGAAUUCCCGGUGUAGCGGUGAAAUGCGCAGAUAUCGGGAAGAACACCCGUGGCUAAGGCGGCUCUCUAGUACGGUACUGACGCUGAGGCACGAAGGCCAGGGGAGCAAACGGG